rnacentral:rRNA from 1 species
AAUAAGGGCGCAUGGCGGAUGCCUUGGCUCAUGGAGGCGAUGAAGGACGUGAUAAGCUGCGAUAAGCCGCGGUUAGGAGCAAAUAUCCCUUGACCCGCGGAUUUCCGAAUGGGACAACCCGUCAGCAUGAAGUGCUGUCAUCAUUACCUUUUGUAAUGAGGCUAACGGAGGGAACUGAAACAUCUUAGUACCUCCAGGAAGAGAAAACAAAACGUGAUUCCCCCAGUAGUGGCGAGCGACCGGGGAAGAGCCCAAACCGGCGUUGUGGCGACGCAGUGCCGGGGUUGUAGGACCGCGCCGUCGUACCCUGAUCGUGAACGGAACUGUCUGGAAAGUCAGGCCAUAGCGGGUGAAAGCCCCUUACGUGAAGCGAGACGGGACGUAGCGGUAUCCUGAGUAACGCGGGACACGAGUAAUCCUGCGCGAAUCGGCCGGGACCAUCCGGCAAGGCUAAAUACUCCCAUGAGACCGAUAGUGAACCAGUACCGUGAGGGAAAGGUGAAAAGCACCCCGACGAGGGGAGUGAAACAGAUCCUGAAACCAUGCGCCUACAAGCGGUCGGAGCAUGCAAUGCAUGUGACGGCGUGCCUUUUGCAUAAUGAACCUACGAGUUACCAUCUCUGGCGAGGAUAAUUGUCACGAGACAAGCAUCCGCAGUGAAAGCGAGGCUGAAUAGGCCGUUUAGUCAGAGGGGGUAGACGCGAAACCAAGUGAUCUACACAUGUCCAGGAUGAAGUCCCGGUAACACGGGAUGGAGGUCCGCACCGAUAAGCGUUGAAAAGCUUCCGGAUGAGGUGUGUGUAGGAGUGAAAGGCCAAUCAAACUUGGAGAUAGCUCGUACUCCCCGAAAGGCAUUUAGGUGCCGCGUGUGGUAUUCAUCGCGAGAGGUAGAGCGACCGAUAGGUCAAGAGGGCUUCACCGCCUAUCGAGACCUGACGAACUCCGAAUGCUCGCGAUUCGCAGCCAUGCAGUAAGGGCGCGGGUGCUAAGGUCCGUGCCCGAGAGGAGAAGAAUCCAGACCGCCGUCUAAGGCCCCUGAGUUCCGCCUGAGUUAGUCUAACGAAGUCUGGUCCCUGUGACAGCUAGGAUGUUGGCUUGGAAGCAGCCAUUCAUUCAAAGAGUGCGUAACAGCUCACUAGUCGAGGGUCCGGGCGUGGAUAAUAAUCGGGUAUAAGGCGGACGCCGAAGGCGCGGGAUAGCAAUUAAUAAAAGUAUCGGUAGGGGAGCAUUCCGCCGGCGUUGAAUCGCGAGGGACGACCUUGCGUGGAGCUUGCGGAAAAGCAAAUGUAGGUAUAAGUAACGACUAGGGGGGCGAGAAUCCCCCCCGCCGUAAGUCUAAGGUUUCCCGGGCAAUGUCAAUCAUCCCGGGGUCAGUCGGGUCCUAAGUCUCAGCCGAACGGCGAUGGCGAUGGCAGAACGGGUCAACAUUCCCGUACUACCUUGGGGAGCGAUUGUGGAGACGGAGCAGUGAAACCUCCGCGCGCUGACGGAUAUGCGCGUUGAAAGGUGUAGGCGUCGAUCGUGGCAGGCAAAUCCACCGCGAGAGCCGACCCUGAAAGUACGGAAUCCCCUUCGGGGGAGUCUGAUAGCGAGGGUAAUCAUACUCCCGAGAAAAUCCGCUAAGCUUAAUCCCUUUGGUACCCGUACCGCAAACCGACACAGGUAGACGGGUAGAACAUACUAAGGCGUUGAGAGAUUCAUGGUUAAGGAACUAGGCAAACUGACCCCGUAACUUCGGGAUAAGGGGUCCUCAC